AUCGCUUCUCGGCCUUUUGGCUAAGAUCAAGUGUAGAAGUAUAGCUAUUUAAAUAAAUACCCUUC
rnacentral:snRNA from 1 species